rnacentral:rRNA from 1 species
UACGGAGGGUGCGAGCGUUGUCCGGAAUCACUGGGCGUAAAGAGCUUGUAGGCGGUUUGUCGCGUCUGCUGUGAAAUUUCGGGGCUCAACCCCGAACUUGCAGUGGGUACGGGCAGACUAGAGUGUGGUAGGGGAGACUGGAAUUCCUGGUGUAGCGGUGAAAUGCGCAGAUAUCAGGAGGAACACCGAUGGCGAAGGCAGGGUCUCUGG